GACGGUACCAGAGGAAUCAGCAUCGGCUAACUCCGUGCCAGCAGCCGCGGUAAGACGGAGGAUGCAAGCGUUAUCCGGAAUGAUUGGGCGUAAAGCGUCCGCAGGUGGCAGUUCAAGUCUGCUGUCAAAGGCCGGGGCUUAACUUCGGAAAGGCAGUGGAAACUGAACAGCUAGAGUAUGGUAGGGGCAGAGGGAAUUCCUGGUGUAGCGGUUAAAUGCGUAGAGAUCAGGAAGAACAUCGGUGGCGAAGGCGCUCUGCUGUACCAUAACUGACACUCAGGGACGAAAGCUAGGGGAGCGAAUGGGAUUAGAUACCCCAGUAGUCCUAGCCGUAAACGAUGGAUACUAGGUGUUGUCUGUAUCGACCCGGACAGUGCCGU
rnacentral:rRNA from 1 species